AUUGUUUCAGGUGGAAACAGACUCAGUCAGGGCCCUUUACAAAAGGAGUCUAGAACUAGACUGUUCACUGAAGGAGCUGGACUGUGAACUGAGGAGGCUCAAAAUUAAAAAAAUUAAAUUGGAGAUCAAACAGCUGGAAAAAACAGAUCUCACCACAUGACCAAUAAAACAGUUUGAGACCUA